rnacentral:rRNA from 1 species
ACUCCUACGGGAGGCAGCAGUGGGAAUAUUGCACAAUGGGCGCAAGCCUGAUGCAGCCAUGCCGCGUGUGUGAAGAAGGCUUUCGGGUUGUAAAGCACUUUCAGUUGUGAGGAAAGGUUAGUCGCUAAUAUCGGCUAGCUGUGACGUUAGCAACAGAAGAAGCACCGGCUAACUCCGUGCCAGCAGCCGCGGUAAUACGGAGGGUGCGAGCGUUAAUCGGAAUUAUUGGGUUUAAAGGGUCCGUAGGCGGGCCGGUAAGUCAGGGGUGAAAGUCUGUAGCUCAACUAUAGAACUGCCUUUGAUACUGCCGGUCUUGAGUCACGGUGAAGUUGCCGGAAUAUGUGGUGUAGCGGUGAAAUGCAUAGAUAUCACAUAGAACACCGAUUGCGAAGGCAGGUGACUAACCGUGUACUGACGCUGAUGGACGAAAGCGUGGGGAGCGAACAGGAUUAGAAACCCUGGUAGGCUCUGC